GCCCCUGUAGCACAAAGGAUAGUAUACGUUGAACUUCUAAUCCAAAGGUCGUGGGUUCCAAUCCCACCUGGGAUG